rnacentral:rRNA from 1 species
UUCUCGGUGUAGCAGUGAAAUGCGUAGAUAUCGAGAGGAACACUCGUGGCGAAGGCGGGUUCCUGGACAUUAACUGACGCUGAGGCACGAAGGCCAGGGGAGCGAAAGGGAUUAGAUACCCCUGUAGUCCUGGCAGUAAACGGUGCACGCUUGGUGUGCGGGCGUGCCGGAGUAACGCGUUAAGCGUGCCGCCUGGGGAGUACGGUCGCAAGAUUAAAACUCAAAGAAAUUGACGGGGACCCGCACAAGCGGUGGAGUAUGUGGCUUAAUUCGAUGCAACGCGAAGAACCUUACCUGGGCUUGACAUGCAGGUGCUGCAUGGCCGUCGUCAGCUCGUGUCGUGAGAUGUUUGGUUAAGUCCAGCAACGAGCGCAACCCCUAUUGCCAGUUACGACUCUGGCGAGACUGCCCAGAUCAACUGGGAGGAAGGUGGGGACGACGUCAGGUCAGUAUGGCCCUUAUGCCCAGGGCUGCACACGUACUACAAUGCCCAGUACAGAGGGGGCCGAAGCCGCGAGGCGGAGGAAAUCCUAAAAACUGGGCCCAGUUCGGACUGUAGGCUGCAACCCGCCUACACGAAGCCGG